CUAGUUUGUCCUAAAGCGAUUGUUGCGUUUAGGCACCUGUAUUCUUAGAGAUUUAUAGAUGUUUAGAGCUGGAAGAUGGAGAACAUAUCUUGUUCAGUCCCAUCAUUUUACAAAUGAUGAAGUUGAGGCUCAGAAACUCCAGUGUCACACAAUUAAUGGCCUAUUGGGCACUAGUACACUAGCAGAGUUUUUGCUAAAAUGCUACAUAGAAUGAAUUCAUACAAAUGUACUGUGUUUAAUAUAUGAAGAUUAUACUGCUUAUCUAGUGGUAUAUCCAGAAGUGGUAAUAUUGUGCCAUCUACACACUCAUCUGUUCCUUUUGAAGAACUUUGUGACGUGAUUAGGAUUCGUGAUGAAACUACGGUUGUAAGCUCAGUGGAGAUUGAGCCUGGGUAUUUACCUGUUUGUCUUAUGCUCUAACUCAGCUGUUUUCAGAUCUGACUGCCCAUCAGUGUCACCUGUGAACUUAAAAAAUUCUGAUGCCCAGGCCCUACUCCAGACCUACUAAAUCAGUAUCUGGGGUGGUACUUGGACAUCUGUAGGUUUAAAACAUCCCACAGGGGUUGAAAAUGGGCAGCUAGGGUAGAGAACCUCUGCUUUUGUGCAUUGAACAGACUAGCCCCCAACUAGCUGAAUAGUAGCAACCUGCUGUGCAUGACCAUUUAAAGAGUACCAAUAGAAAGUUUGGUGUGACAUAAGGAGACCGGAAGAGGGU